rnacentral:lncRNA from 1 species
AAAUGGACCACUGUUCCUUGGUUUGUAAACACGUUCACCUCUUCAAUACCAGAGAUGUUGUUUACCCCUAACUUCUUUAAGGAGAACUGCAGUUUUUUAUCGUCUGCCGUGGUGGCUGUUCUGGGAACCACCUUCUUCUCUCUACGAGCAGUUCCUUUCCCACCAAUGCGCACUCGUGCCUGCAGUUUGGCGAGGUUUUCCUGGUUCAUGAUCGUUUCUUUCAUCUUGUCGGAGUAUUGGCUGACGUAGAAACAGCAUUCUUCUUGGAGGAACAGGCAAAGACCACCUUCUUUAGCUGUCAGGACAUCCAGUCCCCGUCGGUUCUGAAACACCACAGCUGCAACAAAGAAUCGAUCUGUUUCUGGAUGACUCUGGCAUCUGCUUUAAGAUUGCUGUUUGAGGAGAGUUCCACUGUUAAGCUUGCCGUCACCUCUAAGUUGUCUGAGCUUACCACAGUCCAUUAAGGUUGUCAUUUUGUCUGAGGACCAUGGGCAAAGGCUGACAGAGAAUGCACAAUAAACAAGUGGAAGUGGAAGCUCCCAGGGGUUUGUGUUGGACGAGAACAACAAAUGACAAGACAGGGAUAAGGCCAUUACACAUCUGUACUUUACCAUGCUCGAACAGGUCUUCUGAAUUGACAAGAAGUUGUUGUUUGCAAAGGCAUGGGUUAAAACCGACAUGGGAGAGGCUUUCCACCUUCUGUUUUGAAAUUGUCUUGUCUGAAAUAUUCUUCCUCGUUGGAAAACAAUGUGAUACUCAGUGUAUGGACACUGUGGGAAGCCUACACACACAGUCUAAUCUCAAACUCACGGAAGGACACAAAGAGAACCUGGAUGGUGGGCUUCGAUUAGAUUUGUCAGAUUUGAAAAAGAAAAAGACAUUAGAAUUUUGGUUCCUGAAAUCCUGAGAAGAGUUGGCACCGAGGGAAGGAAGAUCCUUGUAGCACAAGAAUUUUCCAAUUUUGCCUAUCUCUGUUUUAGAUGCAUGCUUUCAAU